GGCAUGCCUUACACAUGCAAGUCGAACGGUAACAGGUCUUCGGAUGCUGACGAGUGGCGAACGGGUGAGUAAUACAUCGGAACGUGCCCGAUCGUGGGGGAUAACGAGGCGAAAGCUUUGCUAAUACCGCAUACGAUCUACGGAUGAAAGCGGGGGAUCUUCGGACCUCGCGCGGACGGAGCGGCCGAUGGCAGAUUAGGUAGUUGGUGGGAUAAAAGCUUACCAAGCCGACGAUCUGUAGCUGGUCUGAGAGGAUGAUCAGCCACACUGGGACUGAGACACGGCCCAGACUCCUACGGGAGGCAGCAGUGGGGAAUUUUGGACAAUGGGCGAAAGCCUGAUCCAGCCAUGCCGCGUGCAGGAUGAAGGCCUUCGGGUUGUAAACUGCUUUUGUACGGAACGAAAAGCCUCUUUCUAAUAAAGAGGGGUCAUGACGGUACCGUAAGAAUAAGCACCGGCUAACUACGUGCCAGCAGCCGCGGUAAUACGUAGGGUGCAAGCGUUAA
rnacentral:rRNA from 1 species